rnacentral:rRNA from 1 species
UGGGCGUAAAGAGCUCGUAGGUGGUUUGUCGCGUUGUUCGUGAAAUCUCACGGCUUAACUGUGAGCGUGCGGGCGAUACGGGCAGACUUGAGUACUGCAGGGGAGACUGGAAUUCCUGGUGUAGCGGUGGAAUGCGCAGAUAUCAGGAGGAACACCGGUGGCGAAGGCGGGUCUCUGGGCAGUAACUGACGCUGAGGAGCGAAAGCGUGGGGAGCGAACAGGAUUAGAUACCCUGGUAGUCCACGCCGUAAACGGUGGGUACUAGGUGUGGGUUUCCUUCCUUGGGAUCCGUGCCGUAGCUAACGCAUUAAGUACCCCGCCUGGGGAGUACGGCCGCAAGGCUAAAACCCAAAGAAAUUGACGGGGGCCCGCACAAGCGGCGGAGCAUGUGGAUUAAUUCGAUGCAACGCGAAGAACCUUACCUGGGUUUGACAUGCACAGGACGCCGGCAGAGAUGUCGGUUCCCUUGUGGCCUGUGUGCAGGUGGUGCAUGGCUGUCGUCAGCUCGUGUCGUGAGAUGUUGGGUUAAGUCCCGCAACGAGCGCAACCCUUGUCUCAUGUUGCCAGCGGGUAAUGCCGGGGACUCGUGAGAGACUGCCGGGGUCAACUCGGAGGAAGGUGGGGAUGACGUCAGGUCAUCAUGCCCCUUAUGUCCAGGGCUUCACACAUGCUACAAUGGCCGGUACAAAGGGCUGCGAUGCCGCGAGGUUAAGCGAAUCCUUUUAAAGCCGGUCUCAGUUCGGAUCGGGGUCUGCAACUCGACCCCGUGAAGUCGGAGUCGCUAGUAAUCGCAGAUCA